rnacentral:misc_RNA from 1 species
GAUGAAGAACGUAGCGAAAUGCGAUAAGUAAUGUGAAUUGCAGAAUUCAGUGAAUCAUCGAAUCUUUGAACGCAUCUUGCGCUCCUUGGUAUUCUGAGGAGCAUGCCUGUUUGAGUGUCAUUAAAUUCUCAACUACACUGACUUUGAAUUGGUGUGGCUUGGAUUUGGGGGGAAAAUUGUUGUGGGCUUUUUGUAUAGUCUGCUCCCCUGAAAUUGAUUAGCGGUACCUUUGUGGAACUGUCUACAGGUGUGAUAAUUAUCUACAUCUUAGACAUCUGCUGGAAUGCUGCUUUCUAAGCCUUACUUGUAUUGACAAUCUUGACCUCAAAUCAGGUAGGACUACCCGCUGAACUUAAGCAUAUCAAUAAGCGGAGGA